rnacentral:rRNA from 1 species
CUGGCUCAGGAUGAACGCUGGCGGCAGGCUUAAUACAUGCAAGUUGAACGGUAACAUGUUGUAGCAAUACGAUGAUGACGAGUGGCGCACGGGUGCGUAACACGUGUGUAACCUACCUUAUACAGGAACAUAACGUUGAGAAAUCGGCGCUAACAUUCCAUAAUAUUAUUUGUAGGCAUCUAUGAAUAAUUAAAACUCCGGUGGUAUAAGAUGGGCACGCGUUCCAUUAGCUAGUUGGUAAGGUAACGGCUUACCAAGGCAACGAUGGAUAGGGGUUCUGAGAGGAUAAUCCCCCACACUGGAACUGAGACACGGUCCAGACUCCUACGGGAGGCAGCAGUAAGGAAUAUUGGGCAAUGGAGGCAACUCUGACCCAGCCAUGCCGCGUGCAGGAAGACGGCCCUAUGGGUUGUAAACUGUCUUUUAAUAGGGAUUAAAGUCGACUACGUGUAGUUGUUUGCAAGUACCUAUAGAAUAAGCAUCGGCUAACUCCGUGCCAGCCGCUGC